UGAGUAACCUGCCCUUGACUCUGGGAUAAGCGUUGGAAACGACGUCUAAUACCGGAUACGAGCUUCAGUCGCAU
rnacentral:rRNA from 1 species